GUAUAUUCCUGGGAAGGGCAUACUAAAAUUAGUAAAGUUGCAAAGUUUGGUUGCGAAAUGUUGUAAAAUGUAAAAAAUAUAGCCUUGCAAAGUUUGCAAAUUUUGUAUACUUUUGUAUUGCAAUUUUCACAUGCAAUACAAAAGUAUGCAAAAUUUGCAAACUUUGCAAGGCUAUAUUUUCGGUAUUUUACAACAACAUUUUGCAACCAAAGUUUGCAAUAAUUUACUUAUUUUAGUAUGCUCUUUCUAGCUGUGGUC